rnacentral:rRNA from 1 species
UACGUAGGGGGCAAGCGUUGUCCGGAUUUAUUGGGCGUAAAGAGCGUGUAGGCGGUUUGGUAGGUCCGCUGUGAAAACUCGAGGCUCAACCUCGAGACGCCGGUGGAAACCAUCAGGCUAGAGUCCGGAAGAGGAGAGUGGAAUUCCUGGUGUAGCGGUGAAAUGUGUAGAGAUCGGGAGGAACACCGGUGGCGAAGGCGGGUCUCUGGGCAUCUCCUGACGCUGAGGCGCGAAAGCGUGGGGAGCGAUCCGG